GUGGGGGAUAUUGCACAAUGGAGGAAACUCUGAUGCAGCGACGCCGCGUGAGUGAAGAAGUAUUUCGGUAUGUAAAGCUCUAUCAGCAGGGAAGAUAAUGACAGUACCUGACUAAGAAGCCCCGGCUAACUACGUGCCAGCAGCCGCGGUAAUACGUAGGGGGCAAGCGUUAUCCGGAUUUACUGGGUGUAAAGGGAGCGUAGACGGAAUGGCAAGUCUGAAGUGAAAUCCUGCGGCUUAACUGCAGAAUUGCUUUGGAAACUGUCAAUCUGGAGUGUUGGAGAGGUAAGCGGAAUUCCUGGUGUAGCGGUGAAAUGCGUAGGUAUCAGGAAGAACACCGGAGGCGAAGGCGGCUUACUGGACAAUAACUGACGUUGAGGCUCGAAAGCGUGGGAAGCAAACAGGAUUAGAAACCCGAGUAGUCC
rnacentral:rRNA from 1 species